GCAGGCGAUGCUAUGAGGCUGGGAGUGCUGAGCUGUGGGGCAGGCGAUGCUAUGGGGCUGGGAAUGCUAUGGGGCUGGGAGUGCUAUGGGGCUGUGGGGCAGGCAAUGCUAUGGGGCAGGCGAUGCUAUGGGGCUGUGGGGCAGACGAUGGUAUGGAACAGGCAGUGCUAUGGGGCAGGCAAUGCUAUGGGGCAGGGAGUGCUGUGCUAUGGGGCAGGCGAUGCUAUGGGGCAGGCGAUGCUAUGGGGCUGUGGGGCAGGCAAUGCUAUGGGGCAGGCGAUGCUAUGGGGCUGAUGAUGCUAUGGGGCAGGGAGUGCUGUGCUAUGGGGCAGGCGAUGCUAUGGGGCUGACAAUGCUAUGGGGCAGGCGAUGCUAUGGGGCUGUGGGGCAGGUGAUGCUAUGGGGCUGUGGGGCAGGCAAUGCUAUGGGGCAGGGAGUGCUGAGCUAUGGGGCAGGAGAUGCUAUGGGGCAGGCGAUGCUAUGGGGCAGGGAGUGCUGUGCUAUGGGGCAGGCGAUGCUAUGGGGCUGACAAUGCUAUGGGGCAGGCGAUGCUAUGGGGCUGUGGGGCAGGUGAUGCUAUGGGGCUGUGGGGCAGGCAAUGCUAUGGGGCUGGGAGUGCUGUGCUAUGGGGCAGGCGAUGCUAUGGUGCUGUGGGUCGCGAUGUGGGGCAGCUGCUGACCUUCCCCCCCCCCCCCCCCAUUCCCGCCCCAUAGCCCUGGAGGGCGUCCUGGCGCGCGCCCCACACCGGCCGUGGGGCACAGAGGUGGCAGUGCGCCGCGCCCCCCCGUGGGACCCCACAGCGCUGCUGCUUUUGGGGGCCCCCCCCGAAGCGCUGCGGCCCCUUCUGCCCCACAACUCCAUCUGCAGCUGCCACCCUAUGGGGGGGGGAUCCGUCCUACUGAUGGCGCUGCCCGUGGGGGACAAAGAGCUGCAAUGUCUGCGCUCGGCGCUGUCCGCGGCGGCGGUGCUGAAGCGGCUGCCGCUGUCGGACGCGGUUUGGGUGCUGCCGCCGCGGGCGCCGCGGGCCGUCCUGGAGCUCUACUUUGAGAACCGCCGCAGCGCGGGCGGCGCCGUCCGGGAGGUCGUGGAGCGCCGAGACGGAACCGCCAUCGUCGUCUUCCGGGACCCCCACGUGGUGCCGCGGGUGCUGCGGAGAACCCAUCGGCUGCAGGACGUGGAGCUGCGCGUGGCGCCCUAUUACCCGGCCCUGGACCCAAACGGAACCGCUCCGGUACCGCACGGGGACACACGCACGGAGCCGGCACCGCCUGCUCACCGAUACCUUGGUACCGAACCGCGGGGUGUGGAUCCGGUACUGGGGGCUGUGGAUCCGGAACCGGGGGGUGAUAGAG
ensembl:lncRNA